AUUGAACGCUGGCGGAAUGCUUUACACAUGCAAGUCGAACGGCAGCACGGACUUCGGUCUGGUGGCGAGUGGCGAACGGGUGAGUAACAUAUCGGAACGUAUCCAAUAAUGGGGGAUAACAUAUCGAAAGAUGUGCUAAUACCGCAUACGCCCUGAGGGGGUAAGCUAGGGACCGCAAGGCCUGGCGUUAAUGGAGCGGCCGAUAUCUGAUUAGCUAGUUGGUGAGGUAAGAGCUCACCAAGGCGACGAUCAGUAGCUGGUCUGAGAGGACGACCAGCCACACUGGAACUGAGACACGGUCCAGACUCCUACGGGAGGCAGCAGUGGGGAAUUUUGGACAAUGGGGGCAACCCUGAUCCAGCCAUUCCGCGUGAGUGAAGAAGGCCUUCGGGUUGUAAAGCUCUUUCGCAAGGGAAGAAAACUUGCCAUCUAAUAUAUGGUGAGGUUGACGGUACCUUGAUAAGAAGCACCGGCUAACUACGUGCCAGCAGCCGCAGUAA
rnacentral:rRNA from 1 species